GACGAACGCUGGCGGCGUGCUUAACACAUGCAAGUCGGACGGAAAGGCCCUGCUUUUGUGGGGUGCUCGAGUGGCGAACGGGUGAGUAACACGUGAGUAACCUGCCCUUGACUUUGGGAUAACUUCAGGAAACUGGGGCUAAUACCGGAUAGGAGCUCCUGCUGCAUGGUGGGGGUUGGAAAGUUUCGGCGGUUGGGGAUGGACUCGCGGCUUAUCAGCUUGUUGGUGGGGUAGUGGCUUACCAAGGCUUUGACGGGUAGCCGGCCUGAGAGGGUGACCGGCCACAUUGGGCCUGAGAUACGGCCCAGACUCCUACGGGAGGCAGCAGUGGGGAAUAUUGCACAAUGGGCGGAAGCCUGAGGCAGCAACGCCGCGUGCGGGAUGACGGCCUUCGGGUUGUAAACCGCUUUCGCCUGUGACGAAGCGUGAGUGACGGUAAUGGGUAAAGAAGCACCGGCUAACUACGUG
rnacentral:rRNA from 1 species